rnacentral:rRNA from 2 species
CGUCAGAUUCUACGGGAGGCAGCAGUGGGGAAUAUUGCACAAUGGGCGAAAGCCUGAUGCAGCUAUACCGCGUGUAUGAAGAAGGCCUUAGGGUUGUAAAGUACUUUCGUUGGGGAGGAAAAAUAAAUAGAUAAUACCUGUUUAUCGUGACGUUACCCAAAAAAGAAGCACCGGCUAACUCCGUGCCAGCAGCCGCGGUAAUACGGAGGGUGCAAGCGUUAAUCAGAAUUACUGGGCGUAAAGAGCUCGUAGGCGGUUUUUUAAGUCAGAUGUGAAAUCCCUGGGCUUAACCUAGGAACUGCAUUUGAAACUAAAAGACUAGAGUAUCGUAGAGGGAGGUAGAAUUCUAGGUGUAGCGGUGAAAUGCGUAGAUAUCUGGAGGAAUACCUGUGGCGAAAGCGGCCUCCUAAAUGAAUACUGACGCUGAGGUGCGAAAGCAUGGGGAGCAAACAGGAUUAGAUACCCUGGUAGUCCAUGCCGUAAACGAUGUCGACUUGGAGGUUGUUUCCUUGAGAAGUGACUUCCGAAGCUAACGCGUUAAGUCGACCGCCUGGGGAGUACGGUCGCAAGGCUAAAACUCAAAUGAAUUGACGGGGGCCCGCACAAGCGGUGGAGCAUGUGGUUUAAUUCGAUGCAACGCGAAAAACCUUACCUGGUCUUGACAUCCACAGAAUUUUUCAGAGAUGAAAAAGUGCCUUAGGGAACUGUGAGACAGGUGCUGCAUGGCUGUCGUCAGCUCGUGUUGUGAAAUGUUGGGUUAAGUCCCGCAACGAGCGCAACCCUUAUCCUCUGUUGCCAUUGGUUCGGCCAGGAACUCAGAGGAGACUGCCGGUUAUAAACCGGAGGAAGGCGGGGACGACGUCAAGUCAUCAUGGCCCUUACGACCAGGGCUACACACGUGCUACAAUGGUGUAUACAAAGAGAAGCAACUCUGUAAAGACAAGCAAACCUCAUAAAGUACAUCGUAGUCCGGACUGGAGUCUGCAACUCGACUCACA